UCCGCUUCAAGACAGUAGUGGCGGGAUAGACGACUGUGUAUUCUCAAUUCUUAGAUGCAUGUUAUCCAAUCGAAAUGUAUAGGUCUAUGCUGCCUUAUGUAGCAUAUUAUUCCACAGAAAAUAAACUGCCCAUAGGCUAUGUUUUGAAUUGAGAUUCAAAUGAAUUUCUGCUAGACAGACUUCCUCUGCCUCCAGAAACUUUGUAUGAUCAGCCCAGAGAAGUUCUGGGAUCCAUGAAAAGAUGGAAACCUGCAGAUGACAUGCAACAGCUUUCAACAACCAUCAAACUCCCUACCACCACCAGCUAUAAUAACCUCAAGGCUGUCAUUGGAACUCCUUUCCCCCACCGGGGGAGAUUGGAUGCCAGCAGCCCCGCGUAGGUCUACCUGCCAUCACAUGAUCUGGCUCCGAUUAUCUUCCCUCGGAGAAGAAUCCAUUCCCCAAACUUUUUAAUAAAAUGUCAUAUUGCA